rnacentral:rRNA from 1 species
GCCAGACUCCUACGGGAGGCAGCAGUGGGGAAUAUUGCACAAUGGGGGGAACCCUGAUGCAGCGACGCCGCGUGGGUGAAGGAGCACCUCGGUGCGUAAAGCCCUCUCGGCAGGGAAGAAAAGCGAACAGGUUCGCCUGGACGGUACCUGGCUAAGAAGCCCCGGCUAACUACGUGCCAGCAGCCGCGGGAAUACGUAGGGGGCAAGCGUUAUCCGGAUUCACUGGGUGUAAAGGGAGCGUAGACGGCGGCGCAAGUCUGAAGUGAAAUGCCGGGGCUUAACCCCGGAACUGCUUUGGAAACUGAGCAGCUAGAGUGCAGGAGGGGCAGGCGGAAUUCCUGGUGUAGCGGUGAAAUGCGUAGAUAUCAGGAGGAACACCGGUGGCGAAGGCGGCCUGCUGGACUGCGACUGACGUUGAGGCCCGAAAGCGUGGGGAGCAAACAGGAUUAGAUACCCGGGUAUAG